CAGAGAUUUUAUGGACCAAGGACUUGAUGUGGCCAGCUAGAGAGGUCUUGCAAGAGUGUUUUCAGAGAUGAUGUGGAUGAUUUACAGACAUUCUGACCAGUAUUUUUUUUAAAAGAAAUGGUGACUGUCAUUUUAAAGGCUGAACACUCACUUGUGCUGCUUUACUGCGUCCAUCUAUGUAGUAUUUGAUUGUCUUCCCUGUUUUCCAGGAAAACCAUUGAAUUGUGGAGCACAGAAAUCGUUCACCUGUGAUAGACGCUGGUUGGUUUAUUUGGGGUCCAACUCCUAAAAUUUUUGAAAAUUCCCAUGGUGGAAUUUUGGGCUGCAGACCCACAUCUUCAUGCACUUACAUUUCCCCCGAAGACUACUCAACGGAGAGUGAAUUUGAGGCCUCAUUUUCCUGCCCCAUUUCUUUUCUGGAUAUUCUAGUUUCUUGCCCUUUCACCUCUACGGUGGGCCCCUCCCAAAGAACUGCGACUCCCAGGAAGCAUUGCAGCCUCAGACAGGUGAGGUAAAUACACGCAUCAGACAGUAUGAGUUUGUGGACUGGGAUUCCCAAGAUUUGUGGGGGUGUGUGGGUGUUGGAGUCCAUAAAUUUCAAAUGGCAUCUCUGGACUGUCUUGUUUCGGUAGGUUUAGAUACUGAGCGUUGUGGUGCAGUGGUUGAACUGCAGUCCUGCAGCCAAAACUUUGCUCAUGACACGAGUUCAAUUCCAUGAGUCAAGGUAGACUCACUCUUUGGGGUUGGAAAAUUGAAUGCUCAGCUCACAGGGGUGGCGUGGGGGUAGGAAUAUAUAGCCUGCAGGAUUGUUAUCAGCUCAGAGAGUGCUUUGAAUGAUCCCGGGCUCUAUAUAAGCAUCACACAGUGCGAUCAAUGACAAAAAAAACAGCUGGAUGAGAUCGUCCCAUGCGAAGCAAUGGGAUUGCUUAACUAAGACUAGGCUCGGGGACAGGAUUGUACUCGUAGAAGGAUUCUCCUCUGUUGUCCCAGGUGGCCCAUGAGGACAAAUGCUUGGUGCAUACCUGGAAGGCCAGGAACUCUUCUUGAGGGUGAGCAGAAGCAGCUGGAGACCCUGGAGGACCCAGAAGAUGAUGAGGGAGAAGAAGCUCCUGCUCUCCCCUCAGGCUUAUUGGAGGCUUCUCCAGAUCUUCAGGGGAUGGAUUCUUUUCUACAGCGGAAUCGGGGAGCCUUUCAUCCUUGGAAUGAUGUACAGGAGGAGGAAGGAAAACUCCACAGGACAUCCCCAGAAAGAGUGGAGGAUGAAAACGGGAACUGUGGGAUCAGAGAUGAAUCACGAAGGCAGAAGGAAAACGAGGCAAAUGAGAGGAAAAACAAACCUCACCCUUAUCUGAGAGGAGUUGUCUGUCAAGAAGAAGAGGACAAGAUAAUAAACAAGCGCCUCAAUGUCCUUCAGAGCUCAGAGUCUGUGCUAAGGAGUCCUCUGAGGAAAAGCCCAGUGAAAUGUCCAACAUGCCACACAGAGGAAAAUCUUUGUAAAUGUUUGGAGCAUGGAGAGAGUUCCAGAAGGAACCCAGAAGACUCAAGAUUUCCCACAAGAGAGAAAACUUAUGAAGACUCUGGGUCUGAAAAAUGCUUCAGCGUUAGCUCAUCUCUUCAAGUCUCUCAGCCUGUGGACUCAGAAGAAAAAUUGUAUAAAGGUGAAGAAUGUGGCAAGAGCUUCAAGGGAAGUUCUGGACUUAAGCGACGUCAGGGAAUGGAGAGUGAGAAGAGCUGCCACAAAUGUCUUAAAUGUGGAAAGUUCUUCAUGUGGCAUUUAAGUCUUAGAGAACAUCAAAAAAUUCAUAUAGGACAGAAACCGUUUCCCUGUGAA
rnacentral:lncRNA from 1 species